CAGUUUAUUACAAGUAAAAAAAGAAACCCUAAGGUUCUCUGUGGAGAACGCGAUUAAGUCGUCCUCUGCUUCCCCUCUUUCAGACCGUCGUCAACAUCCGUCGCUGGGGGCUUCUGCAAGGAACACUUGGUGGUUUGCCGUCUGUCGCCACCUUCCCUGUGAACUGGUCUGCUCUACUCUGUUCCGUUCGGAGGUGGUCAGCGCGUUUUUCGUCGUCGUCCGUCGCUGUGAAGCCCAUCACCGUCGCUGCGCCAUAUCGAUCGGAGCCUCGUAGCGCCUGGCCUCCCGUCCCCGCAUUGUGCGUCUGCUCCAUCUCCCUACACUCGAACGUUCUCUCUGAAAACAAUUUCUUCAAAGCAGUGGUGCUAAUAUUUUGAAUCAAGGACAGGAUACCAAAUAUGUAAAAUUCUUGAUUCUUGCAUUGAGUUUAGUUCUGGAGCUUCAUAAAGCAAAGGAAAGAGCUGUUGAAUAUGGUAAUAAAGCCAGAACUGAUGUAGCAAAUGCCUUUUUUGGAAUAGUUGAUGGUCUUAGUCUAAUAGUUGAUGGUCUUAGUCUUAUUUGUUGUUGUUGAUUUGUGUUUCUAUUAAAAAUCUCAGUGUGUUUUUUGAUGUUACAAUUUAUCAUAUCUUCUAGAAAAAUAUUUUGUUGUGGCAAAGACUUUGUGAGGAUGCAUUGUAUUCAUUGCUCACUUUUGGUGCUCGACAGUCUGUGCGUCACUUGGCAUCAGUUGCAAUGGCAAAGAUCAUAUCCAAGGGAGAUGAAAUAUCUGUUUAUGCUAGAGCAAGCAGCCUUUAAGGAUUUCUUUCUAAUGGUUCUUGUUACCAUAAGAAAAAUUCAUUUAUUCAAUAUACUUGUUUGAAUUUUUUGUCAGUCAAAUUGGUUCUCUUGUUUGAGAAACUAUACAGAACUCAGUUUUUUAAACAAUUUUAGUUAUUAUUCUAUCAA